UAUGAACGCUGGCGGCGUGCUUAACACAUGCAAGUCGAGCGAGGCCUGGGGGGCAACUCCCAGAGUCGAGCGGCGGACGGGUGAGUAACACGUGGGUAACCUGUCCGGAAGUGGGGAAUACCUCGGGGAAACUCGAGCUAAUACCGCAUGACAUCUUCGGGACGAAAGUCCUGACGAUCAAAGCGGGGUCGCAAGAUCUCGCGCUACCGGAUGGGCCCGCGCCCGAUUAGCUAGUUGGUGAGGUAACGGCUCACCAAGGCUUCGAUCGGUAACCGGCCUGAGAGGGCGAUCGGUCACACCGGAACUGAGACACGGUCCGGACUCCUACGGGAGGCAGCAGUGGGGAAUCGUUGCGCAAUGGGCGAAAGCCUGACGCAGCAACGCCGCGUGGA
rnacentral:rRNA from 1 species